AUGACGCNGGCGGCANGCCUAACACAUGCAAGUCGAGCGGAAACGAGUUAUCAAAGCCUUCGGGUGGCGAUAACGGCGUCGAGCGGCGGACGGGUGAGUAAUGCCUGGGAAAUUGCCCUGAUGUGGGGGAUAACCAUUGGAAACGAUGGCUAAUACCGCAUGAUAGCUUCGGCUCAAAGAGGGGGACCUUCGGGCCUCUCGCGUCAGGAUAUGCCCAGGUGGGAUUAGCUAGUUGGUGAGGUAAGGGCUCACCAAGGCGACGAUCCCUAGCUGGUCUGAGAGGAUGAUCAGCCACACUGGAACUGAGACACGGUCCAGACUCCUACGGGAGGCAGCAGUGGGGAAUAUUGCACAAUGGGCGCAAGCCUGAUGCAGCCAUGCCGCGUGUAUGAAGAAGGCCUUCGGGUUGUAAAGUACUUUCAGCAGUGAGGAAGGCAGGUACGUUAAUAGCGUGCUUGUUUGACGUUAGCUGCAGAAGAAGCACCGGCUAACUCCGUGCCAGCAGCCGCGGUAAUACGGAGGGUGCGAGCGUUAAUCGGAAUUACUGGGCGUAAAGCGCAUGCAGGUGGUUUGUUAAGUCAGAUGUGAAAGCCCGGGGCUCAACCUCGGAAUUGCAUUUGAAACUGGCAGACUAAANUACUGUANAGGGG
rnacentral:rRNA from 1 species